AUUGAACGCUGGCGGCAGGCCUAACACAUGCAAGUCGAACGCGAAAGCUCCUUCGGGAGUGAGUAGAGUGGCGAACGGGUGAGUAACGCGUAGGAAUCUACCCAGGAGUGGGGGACAACCCGGGGAAACUCGGGCUAAUACCGCAUACGCCCUACGGGGUAAAGCGGGGGACCUUUCGGGGCCUCGUGCUUCUGGAUGAGCCUGCGUCGGAUUAGCUUGUUGGUGAGGUAACGGCUCACCAAGGCGACGAUCCGUAGCUGGUCUGAGAGGAUGAUCAGCCACACUGGGACUGAGACACGGCCCAGACUCCUACGGGAGGCAGCAGUGGGGAAUAUUGGACAAUGGGCGCAAGCCUGAUCCAGCCAUGCCGCGUGUGUGAAGAAGGCCUUCGGGUUGUAAAGCACUUUCAGUGGGGAAGAAAAGCCUGGGGUUAAUACCCCCGAGUCUUGACGGUACCCACAGAAGAAGCACCGGCUAAUUCCGUG
rnacentral:rRNA from 1 species